UGGUGGAGUGAUUUGUCUGGUUAAUUCCGUUAACGAACGAGACCUUAGCCUGCUAAAUAGUUGGACGAAAUUCACGUUUCGUUUCAGCUUCUUAGAGGGACUUCGUGUGUUUAACACGAGGAAGUUUGAGGCAAUAACA
rnacentral:rRNA from 1 species